AGUGAACGCUGGCGGUAGGCCUAACACAUGCAAGUCGAACGGCAGCACAGUAAGAGCUUGCUCUUACGGGUGGCGAGUGGCGGACGGGUGAGGAAUACAUCGGAAUCUACUUUUUCGUGGGGGAUAACGUAGGGAAACUUACGCUAAUACCGCAUACGACCUACGGGUGAAAGCAGGGGAUCUUCGGACCUUGCGCGAUUGAAUGAGCCGAUGUCGGAUUCGCUAGAUGGCGGGGGAAAGGCCCACGAAGGCGACGAUCCGUAACUGGUCUGAGGGGAAGAUUAGACACAUGGGCAGUGAGACACGGUCCACACACUGACGGGGGGCAGCAGCGGGGAAUAUUGGACGAUGGGCGCGUGCCGGAUCCAGCCAUACCGCGUGGAGGAAGAAGGACUUCGGGUUGUAAAGUCCUUUUGUUGGGAGAGAAGUGCAGCAGGUUAAUACCCCGCUGUUCUGACGGUACCCAAAGAAUAAGCACCGGCUAACUUCGUG
rnacentral:rRNA from 1 species